rnacentral:rRNA from 1 species
UGGCUCAGAUUGAACGCUGGCGGCAGGCCUAACACAUGCAAGUCGAGCGGUAGAGAGAAGCUUGCUUCUCUUGAGAGCGGCGGACGGGUGAGUAAUGCCUAGGAAUCUGCCUGGUAGUGGGGGAUAACGUUCGGAAACGGACGCUAAUACCGCAUACGUCCUACGGGAGAAAGCAGGGGACCUUCGGGCCUUGCGCUAUCAGAUGAGCCUAGGUCGGAUUAGCUAGUUGGUGAGGUAAUGGCUCACCAAGGCGACGAUCCGUAACUGGUCUGAGAGGAUGAUCAGUCACACUGGAACUGAGACACGGUCCAGACUCCUACGGGAGGCAGCAGUGGGGAAUAUUGGACAAUGGGCGAAAGCCUGAUCCAGCCAUGCCGCGUGUGUGAAGAAGGUCUUCGGAUUGUAAAGCACUUUAAGUUGGGAGGAAGGGUUGUAGAUUAAUACUCUGCAAUUUUGACGUUACCGACAGAAUAAGCACCGGCUAACUCUGUGCCAGCAGCCGCGGUAAUACAGAGGGUGCAAGCGUUAAUCGGAAUUACUGGGCGUAAAGCGCGCGUAGGUGGUUUGUUAAGUUGGAUGUGAAAUCCC